rnacentral:lncRNA from 1 species
UUCCAUUCUUAAAUAUAUUCUUAAUUUUCUGCAAUGAAUAUGAAAGCAUCAAUUUGGUAAUCAGAAAGGAAAUAAUAUAAUCACGAGCACAAAGCUGAGUUAAGAAAAAACGGACUGAACUGACUUCCCUUCAUCCUGCAGCCUGCAGGCCCCUUCCUCCCCUGGGGGUGCUGCUGCUCCAGCCCCCUCCUAUCUCAUCUUUCCUUAGGGAGCUGUCUUGAGAGAGAGACUGAGACGCUGGUCUCCCCGCAGCAGGUCCUGACAGCGGUGACUUAUCCAAGCAGAGCCUCAGGCACCACUCUCUUCUUCAAAAGUUACCAGAACAACCCUUAGGCAACUUCUUCCGGGUCAGCCCAACGGCCUUUCCCACACACCUGGGCCCAGCCUCAGGUGUCUGGAGUAUUUCCUAAGUAGAAUUGGGGAAGAUGUCUCAAAUCACGCCAGGCAGCAGCCAUCUGGAAAAUUGCUGCUGGCUUAGCACCCUUGGGCCUGGUGGGUGAGGAGGUUCUUCCGGCCCUGGGCUCCUGCCUGGUGUCCCCUCUCAGUCAGCGCCUCUACCCAGGGCAGGAGCAGCCUCCGUGGAAGGGUGAGACAAGCUGGCUGCAGUGCAGGACAGCUCUGCUGGUUGGGUAGAGCGGAGACAGCAGAGGAACUUCAGCCUCCCAGAAGAGUAAGAGCUGAGCGAAGCUGUGAAAGGGGUAUCCUUGCUUGGUUCAUGGUGGGUACCUUUAGCCCUUGAAAGCCUCAGUUCCAGCCCAGACUGAGGAAUGGCGGAGCGCCUCCCCAGCAGAGAAUUCUGCUGUGGGAAUGAAUGGUUGAGCUCCAGGGCUUCCGGCUUCCUCCUCUCGGUUAGCAGCCUCUCCUGCCGAGAGCCCCCUGGGCCCUGCAGCCUGGGCCUGCCCAUCAUCAGCCCAGAAGGCAGGAGGUUUCAUAAAACAGAAUUAGAAGUGCAAGUUUUCUAGAAACUUUAGGAUUAAUUAAUAAACAGAUGGUCUAUCUCUUCCUCCUUCCCCGGCAUGGGAAGGGUUGAGUAGAGUUAGAAAUCCACUUAAAUUUGCAAAACGUAGAUAGUUGUUGAACCUGGGUCAAGGGAACAUAGGGGUUCAUAAUAUAUUUCUUUCUACUUUUGUGUAUGUUUGAAAUGUUUCACAACACAAUGAAUACAAUGCACAAAUAAUAAAAAGCCCAAGCCACAAAAAAUAAUAAAACACACUUUUUAAAGGAAUAAAAACAUAUUUAUUUAAAGCAUAACUUUUUUUUUUGUUUGAAGCGGAGUUUUGCUCUGUUGCCCAGGCUGGAGUACAAUGGCGUGAUCUCAGCUCACUGCAACCUCCACUUCCCCGGGUUCAAGCGAUUCUCCUGCCUCAGCCUGC